CAGAACUUUUGUCCCCUCGGAGAAAUGAUCUGUCACUGUAUGACAUCCUCAGCAGCCAAACAAUGUAUCCCUCAGCCAAACAAUAUACAGAGAUUUUAAGCCUGUUCAUACGCAGAUGUCCCUUCAUGCAGGAGAAAAUUGGUUCAGGACAUGAUGAUUUACGUGAGUCUCUAACAAGUUCAAAAAGGAAAGGCGACCCCUUAUUGGUGACUCAAUGGUGCAACAAAUGUGUCCAAACUUUUCUGUGGCAGGAUCUGGAAAGAAGCACCAUACUCCGGGUCAACCAAGCCAGCUUUUCUACAUAAACAGGCCUGCUGCUCAGGAAGAUGGAGACUUUGGAGAGGAUGAAAGGACCAUUCAAGCUCAUAUCCAAAAUAUGUCUACAGAGAUGCUUAAAGUACACCCAGAUGAGAAAUCAUUAAAGGAGGGAAUGAGACGAACAUGUGCUACCCGAAAAACCUUCAUGGCAAAUGCCAAGGCUGAGGAAAUCAUUGAAAAGUUUCCAGCACUGGGGCUUCCUAAAAUAGUUGAAUUGAUCAUAUUUAAUUUCAUGUCUAUUACUGCAUUUAUGAUAAUCAAGUAUUUAGAGCUAAUAUAUUUUUGU